rnacentral:rRNA from 1 species
UACAGGGGGGGCAAGCGUUGUUCGGAAUUACUGGGCGUAAAGGGUUCGUAGGUGGCCACUUAAGUCAGACGUGAAAUCCCUCAGCUUAACUGGGGAACUGCGUCCGAUACUGGUGGGCUUGAAUCCGGGAGAGGGAUGCGGAAUUCCAGGUGUAGCGGUGAAAUGCGUAGAUAUCUGGAGGAACACCGGUGGCGAAGGCGGCAUCCUGGACCGGCAUUGACGCUGAGGCGCGAAAGCUAGGGGAGCAAACGGG